GACGAACGCUGGCGGCGUGCUUAACACAUGCAAGUCGAACGGAAAGGCCCUGCUUUUGUGGGGUUCUCGAGUGGCGAACGGGUGAGUAACACGUGAGUAACCUGCCCUUGACUUUGGGAUAACUUCAGGAAACUGGGGCUAAUACCGGAUAGGAGCUCCUGCUGCAUGGUGGGGGUUGGAAAGUUUCGGCGGUUGGGGAUGGACUCGCGGCUUAUCAGCUUGUUGGUGGGGUAGUUGCUUACCAAGGCUUUGACGGGUAGCCGGCCUGAGAGGGUUACCGGCCACAUUGGGACUGAGAUACGGACCAGACUCCUACGGGAGGCAGCAGUGGGGAAUAUUGCACAAUGGGCGGAAGCCUGAUGCAGCAACGCCGCGUGCGGGAUGCCGGCCUUCGGGUUGUAAACCGCUUUCGCCUGUGACGAAGCGUGAGUGACGGUAAUGGGUAAAGAAGCACCGGCUAACUACGUG
rnacentral:rRNA from 1 species